rnacentral:rRNA from 1 species
GAUGUACGCUAGCUACAGGCUUAACACAUGCAAGUCGAGGGGUAACGAGAGGAAAGCUUGCUUUCCUUGUCGACGACCGGCGCACGGGUGAGUAACGCGUAUCCAACCUGCCCCCAACUAGGGAAUAACCUUGCGAAAGUAAGACUAAUACCCUAUAAUUUCCUCAGAUGACAUCUGACGAGGAAUAAAGAUUUAUCGGUUGUGGAUGGGGAUGCGUCUGAUUAGCUUGUUGGCGGGGUAACGGCCCACCAAGGCAACAAUCAGUAGGGGUUCUGAGAGGAAGGUCCCCCACAUUGGAACUGAGACACGGUCCAAACUCCUACGGGAGACAGCAGUGAGGAAUAUUGGUCAAUGGGCGGAAGCCUGAACCAGCCAAGUAGCGUGCAGGAUGACGGCCCUAUGGGUUGUAAACUGCUUUUAUACAGGAAUAAAGUUAGCCACGUGUGGUUAUUUGUAGGUACUGUAUGAAUAAGGACCGGCUAAUUCCGUGCCAGCCGCCGCCGUAA